CCUACGGGUGGCAGCAGUGGGGAAUAUUGGGCAAUGGGCGCAAGCCUGACCCAGCAACGCCGCGUGAAGGAAGAAGGCUUUCGGGUUGUAAAAUUCUUUUCUCAGGGACGAAGCAAGUGACGGUACCUGAGGAAUAAGCCACGGCUAACUACGUGCCAACAGCCGCGGUAAUACGUCGGUGGCAAGCGUUAUCCGGAUUUACUGGGUGUAAAGGGCGUGUAGGCGGGAAAGCAAGUCAGAUGUGAAAACCAUGGGCUCAACCUGUGGCCUGCAUUUGAAACUGGUGUUCUUGAGUACUGGAGAGGCAGACGGAAUGCCUGGUGUAGCGGUGAAAUGCGUAGAUAUUAGGAGGAACACC
rnacentral:rRNA from 1 species